AGAGUUUGAUCCUGGCUCAGGACGAACGCUGGCGGUGUGCUUCACACAUGCAAGUCGAGCGAAUGAAGAAGGUAGCUUGCUACUUUUGGAUUUAGCGGCGGACGGGUGAGUAAUAUAUAGGAAUCUGCCCUAGAGCGGGGAACAACAGACCGAAAGGUUUGCUAAUGCCCCAUAGGUACGCAGUCUUCGGAUUGUUUAUUAAAGGAGUAAUCCACUCUAGGAUGAGCCUGUAUCCGAUUAGCUAGUUGGCGGGGUAAAGGCCCACCAAGGCUACGAUCGGUAGUUGGUCUGAGAGGAUGAUCAGCCACAAUGGGACUGAGACACGGCCCAUACUCCUACGGGAGGCAGCAGUGGGGAAUUUUACACAAUGGGGGAAACCCUGAUGUAGCGACACCGCGUGAACGAAGAAGCCUUUUGGGGUGUAAAGUUCUGUCGGCUGGAACGAAAAAAAUGACGGUACCAGCAAAGGAAGCAUCGGCUAACUACGCGCCAGCAGCCGCGGUAAGACGUAGGAUGCAAGCGUUGUCCGGAUUUAUUGGGCGUAAAGAGUUCGUAGGCGGUUAUUUAAGUCUGGUGUUAAAUACUGUGGCCCAACCACAGAACUGCAUUGGAUACUGGAUGACUUGAGUGCGGUAGAGGCGAGUGGAAUUCCCAGUGUAGCGGUGAAAUGCGUAGA
rnacentral:rRNA from 1 species